GUCACUUUGGCGGAGUGGUUAACGCGUUGCCCUGCUAUUGCAAGAUAGCCGUCAGGCAAUUCCCUCGGGAGCGCAGGUUCGAAUCCUGCAGGUGACG